rnacentral:misc_RNA from 1 species
AAUAUUGGAAAUCACUAUUUAUAAUAAUUGCGCAUACAUGAAUUUCUUCUCACAAUUGGAAGCUAUAAACAAAGUUACAAAAGAAUCUAUAGAUAAGAAAUUUGGGUCUUCAUAGAAGGCGGAUACUCCUGAACAAAUAAUCUAUACAGAAAUUUGUUCUUCCGGUGAAGAGGUACUAACCUUGUACAACAAAUUUAGAGUAUAGGUGUGUUGCACCUCCUGGAAUAGCAAGAAUAUUUAUUUGCCAAGAUCAUCGUAAAUUUGUGAAUUCACAAGUAGGGAUUCCAUGGUUUUGGAACCAUUCGGGCAUUUGAAACCUUUCGCGAAGCACAGGCCUUACAUCCUUCUGCUCAGAUAGAUGCUUGAGAAGUGGAAGGAUUUCUUCCAAAAGCUGGUUGUCAUAGGGUUGUCCAGGAGAAAAUGAAAUGCACGGGAUUCCAUUUAAAGGCUGUAACAAGAAACUAAAUGGGUUGUUAUCAACAAUGACAACUCGGCAUAAAUCCUCUGAUAUGCAUGACAGAUCCUUCACAUGUUCCCGGAAUUCCGUGCUAAUAGUUGAAGGACGAUAAAGUCUAUGGCUAAACAGAUUCUCAAGGUCAAUUUUGUCAACAACAGGUCUAGCAUAUCCUUCAAGUCCAGCAGUAAACAAGACCAGAUUAGCGAACUCGCUAAGUUGUUUUAGGAACUCAUGUAAUCCAGGACGUUCAAAAACUGUGACAUGGUUGAUUUUAGGUUUCCCAUCAUAUUCCUUUUCGGAAGAUACGCACUCAAGCUCAAACCACUUCAACCCAGCCUCUGUUGCCUGGGUGCAAAUGAUGGUUGGCAAACUUGAUGUCUCAUAUGCACAAAUCAAAGUUUCAUCCAAGUCAAGAACUACCGUGAGCUUCUGUAAAUGUUCCUCCUCGACACUGAUCGGGACACUUCCGGUUGUGAUUUGCAGAGUCGAUAGAGCAACGGAUGACGGCGGCGGCGCCUCCUCCUCUUCCGGUGGCUCAACGUCAGGCAGCGGCUUGAACUGUGGAGAGGAAGAGAGAAGAGAGCUAUUGCGAACGCCAAAGUAGGAGAGAACCUGAGUUACACAAGGCGUUCCUUUGAGGAUCUGAACAAAGAUCUGGAAGAAGAAAGCUAGCCAGUUCAGUAGCGAUUUCCAAAUUUGUAGAGUUCUCGUCGGCGCGUAGACUUGUGCUGCUUGAACAAGCUCCGGCAUGGUUUCGGCCGGAAAACAAAAACCUGUGUAUCUGUAUAAAUUCCGAUGAAUUCACCACUGUUGAAGUCAAAAAU